rnacentral:rRNA from 1 species
GUCGAGCGGAUGAAGGGAGCUUGCUCCUGGAUUCAGCGGCGGACGGGUGAGUAAUGCCUAGGAAUCUGCCUGGUAGUGGGGGAUAACGUCCGGAAACGGGCGCUAAUACCGCAUACGUCCUGAGGGAGAAAGUGGGGGAUCUUCGGACCUCACGCUAUCAGAUGAGCCUAGGUCGGAUUAGCUAGUUGGUGGGGUAAAGGCCUACCAAGGCGACGAUCCGUAACUGGUCUGAGAGGAUGAUCAGUCACACUGGAACUGAGACACGGUCCAGACUCCUACGGGAGGCAGCAGUGGGGAAUAUUGGACAAUGGGCGAAAGCCUGAUCCAGCCAUGCCGCGUGUGUGAAGAAGGUCUUCGGAUUGUAAAGCACUUUAAGUUGGGAGGAAGGGCAGUAAGUUAAUACCUUGCUGUUUUGACGUUACCAACAGAAUAAGCACCGGCUAACUUCGUGCCAGCAGCCGCGGUAAUACGAAGGGUGCAAGCGUUAAUCGGAAUUACUGGGCGUAAAGCGCGCGUAGGUGGUUCAGCAAGUUGGAUGUGAAAUCCCCGGGCUCAACCUGGGAACUGCAUCCAAAACUACUGAGCUAGAGUACGGUAGAGGGUGGUGGAAUUUCCUGUGUAGCGGUGAAAUGCGUAGAUAUAGGAAGGAACACCAGUGGCGAAGGCGACCACCUGGACUGAUACUGACACUGAGGUGCGAAAGCGUGGGGAGCAAACAGGAUUACAUACCCUGGUAGUCCACGCCGUAAACGAUGUCGACUAGCCGUUGGGAUCCUUGAGAUCUUAGUGGCGCAGCUAACGCGAUAAGUCGACCGCCUGGGGAGUACGGCCGCAAGGUUAAAACUCAAAUGAAUUGACGGGGGCCCGCACAAGCGGUGGAGCAUGUGGUUUAAUUCGAAGCAACGCGAAGAACCUUACCUGGCNNUUGACAUGCUCGAGAACUUU